UCUGGUGUAGCUCAGUGAUAGAGCACUUGCUUAGCACAUGCAAGGCCCUGGGUUCAAUUACCAAGACGAGAG
rnacentral:tRNA from 1 species